AACGAACGCUGGCGGCAUGCCUAACACAUGCAAGUCGAACGAGACCUCCGGGUCUAGUGGCGCAUGGGUGCGUAACGCGUGGGAACCUGCCCUUAGGUUCGGAAUAACUCCCCGAAAGGGGUGCUAAUACCGGAUAAUGUCUUCGGACCAAAGAUUUAUCGCCUUUGGAUGGGCCCGCGUUGGAUUAGCUAGUUGGUAGGGUAAAAGCCUACCAAGGCGACGAUCCAUAGAUGGUCUGAGAGGAUGAUCAGCCACACUGGGACUGAGACACGGCCCAGACUCCUACGGGAGGCAGCAAUGGGGAAUAUUGGACAAUGGGCGAAAGCCUGAUCCAGCGAUGCCGCGUGAGUGAUGAAGGCCUUAGGGUUGUAAAGCUCUUUUACCCGUGAUGAUAAUGACAGUACCGGGAGAAUAAGCUCCGGCUAACUCCGUG
rnacentral:rRNA from 1 species